rnacentral:rRNA from 1 species
UGCCAGACUCCUACGGGAGGCAGCAGUGGGGAAUAUUGGACAAUGGGGGGAACCCUGACCCAGCGACGCCGCGUGAGUGAAGAAGUAUUUCGGUAUGUAAAGCUCUAUCAGCAGGGAAGAAAGAAAUGACGGUACCUGACUAAGAAGCCCCGGCUAACUACGCGCCAGCAGCCGCGGUAAUACGUAGGGGGCAAGCGUUAUCCGGGUUUACUGGGUGUAAAGGGAGCGUAGGCGGCUAUGCAAGUCUGGAGUGAAAGGCGGGGGCCCAACCCCCGGACUGCUCUGGAAACUGUUGAUCUAGAGUGGAGGAGAAGUAAGUGGAAUUCCUAGUGUAGCGGUGAAAUGCGUAGAUAUUAGGAGGAACACCAGUGGCGAAGGCGGCUUACUGG